GUUGGAGAUGGGGCCUGGUGGGAGGUGAUCGGAUCAGGGGGGUGGAUUUCUCACAGAUGCUUUAGGACCAUCCUCUUGGUGCUGUUCUCAUGAUAGUUCAGUGAAUUCUCACUCGAUCUGGUCGUUUGAAAGUGUGUGGCAUCUCCCCCCUCGCUCUCUCUCUUGCUCCUGCUCCAGCCAUGUGACCUGCGUGCUCCCUGCCUUCACCUGCCGCCAUGAUUGGAAGCUUUCUGAGGCCGCCUUAGAAGCCAAGUAGAUGCCAACAUCAAGCCUCUAAUACAGCCUGCAGAACCGCUUGCCCUCUCUCACCUGCUGCCAUGUAAGAUGUGCCUGCUUCACCUUCCGCCAUGAUUGUCAGUUUCCUGAGGCCUCCCCAGCCAUGUGGAACUCUCUGUCUUUUCCAGAAUAUCAUAUAAAUGGAAUCACACGAUAGGCAGCCUUUUGAGUCUGGCUUCUUUGACUGAACAGAAUGCAUUCAAGGAUGUGAGAAGAAGAAAGGAGGGGGGAGAGGAGGAGAAAAGGACGUGCAUCAUCUGAAAAUGAAGGGUGUUCUUUAAAGCAGCAAAGUUAGCUCAACAAAACUUAUUGUGCUUUAUCAUGGGGAACUGACAUAGCAGAAAGUGGAACCAACGGUAAGGGGGGACUACUGUAACUAUGGAGGAAUAAGGACAAGAAUUACAGCAGACGUCUCAACAGAAACCAUGCAAGCCAGAGACAACGGAGUGAGAUUUUUAAAGUGUUGAAAGAAAAAAACUGUCAAAACAGAUUUCUACAUCCAGGAGAAAUAUCUUUCAAAUGUGAAAAACAAAUAAAUACUUUUGUGUACCAACAUAAACUGAGGAAGUUCAGUAAUAUUUCCUACUUUACUGGAAAUAUUAAAGGUAGUUCUUCAAACAAAGAAUUUGUUUGGAACUUAGAUCUGCAUACAGGACAUAAAUGAAGGGAAAUAUGCUUUAUCAUAUUUCUCGCUGUAAAAUAUACUUUAUCAUAUUUUCUUGCUAUAACAAGUAACUUGACUGUUUAAAGUAAUAAUAACCAUAUAUUAUAUGGUUAUGGUGUAUGUAAGAGUAAGAUGAGUUACAAUGAUAGUGCAAAAGAUGAGAAGAAAGAAUUGGGAAACACUGUUGUAAGAUCUUACAUUACAUGUGUGGCAACACUGUUAUUUGAAGGUGGACUUAGAUUAUUUAAAAUUGUAUAUUAUAAAACCUAGGGCAAUCACUACAAGUGUUAACAACACAAAAUGUGUAAAAAUCAAUUGACUAUAUUUAUGUAGGUCUAGUUCGGGGCUUUCUCUUCUAUUUCAUUGAUCUAUGUGUCUAUCCUUUUGCUACUGUCUUUAUUACUAUAUCUUUAUAAUAAUCCCAGCACUUUGGGAGACCAAGGUGGGCAGAUCAUGAGGUCAAGAGAUCGAGACCAUCCUGGCCAACAUGGUGAAACCCCAUCCCUACUAAAAAUACAAAAAUUAGCUGGGCAUGGUGGCACAUGCCUGUAGUCCCAGCUAUUCAGGAGGCUGAGGCAGGAGAAUUGCUUGAACCCAGGAGGUGGAGGUUGCAGUGAGCCAAGAUCACACCACUGCUCUCCAGCCUGGCAAUAGAGUGAGACUUUGUCUCAAAAAAAUAAAAAUAAAAAUAAAAAAUAAAAAAUAAAAAAAUUUUAAAUAAAAGGCUUGAAAUUGGGUAGUGUAAAUCCUUCCAUUUUUUAAAUCUCUUUCAGAAUCAUUUUGCUAUUCUAGCAUGUUUUGCUUUUUAGAAUCAGUUUGUUGAUAUCUACCCAAUGCUUGCUGGAAUUUUGGUUAGGAUUGUACUGGGGAGAAUUGGUAAAUUUGCCACAUUGAACCUUUCAAUCCGAGAAUAUGUUAUAUCUCUAUACUUAAUUAGAUCUUCCAUGAUUUAUUUGAGCAGUGUUUUGCAGUUUAUAGUAUAUAAUUCCUGAGCACGUUUUGUUAGAAUUUAAGUAUUUCAAUGGGGCAGGAGAUGCUAUUAUAAAUGAUACUGUCUUUAAAUUUUGAAAUCCAAUUGUUGAUUGCCACUAUCUAGAAAAAUGGUUGACUUUUGUAAUUCUGCAACCUCAGUAAUUUAUUAAUUCUAGGAGCAUUUUGGUGGGUUUCUUUGGGAAGAUAAAUAUGUCUUUUUGGAUAAAAAAAAAAAAAAAAAAAAAAA
rnacentral:lncRNA from 1 species